ACGAACGCUGGCGGCGUGCUUAACACAUGCAAGUCGAACGGAAAGGCCCUGCUUGCAGGGUACUCGAGUGGCGAACGGGUGAGUAACACGUGGGUGAUCUGCCCUGCACUUCGGGAUAAGCCUGGGAAACUGGGUCUAAUACCGGAUAGGAGCCAUUUUUAGUGUGAUGGUUGGAAAGUUUUUUCGGUGUAGGAUGAGCUCGCGGCCUAUCAGCUUGUUGGUGGGGUAAUGGCCUACCAAGGCGGCGACGGGUAGCCGGCCUGAGAGGGUGGACGGCCACAUUGGGACUGAGAUACGGCCCAGACUCCUACGGGAGGCAGCAGUGGGGAAUAUUGUACAAUGGGCGCAAGCCUGAUGCAGCGACGCCGCGUGGGGGAUGACGGCCUUCGGGUUGUAAACUCCUUUCGCUAGGGACGAAGCUUUUUGUGACGGUACCUAGAUAAGAAGCACCGGCUAACUACGUG
rnacentral:rRNA from 1 species